rnacentral:misc_RNA from 1 species
GGUGAAGAACGCAGCGAAAUGCGAUAAGCAGUGUGAAUUGCAGAAUUCAGUGAAUCAUCGAAUCUUUGAACGCACAUUGCGCCCCUUGGUAUUCCAUGGGGCAUGCCUGUUCGAGCGUCAUUUGUACCUUCAAGCUCUGCUUGGUGUUGGGUGUUUGUCUCGCCUCUGCGUGUAGACUCGCCUCAAAACAAUUGGCAGCCGGCGUAUUGAUUUCGGAGCGCAGUACAUCUCGCGCUUUGCACUCAUAACGACGACGUCCAAAAGUACAUUUUUACACUCUUGACCUCGGAUCAGGUAGGGAUACCCGCUGAACUUAAGCAUAUCAAAAGCGGAGGA